UGGGGAAUUUUGGACAAUGGGGGCAACCCUGAUCCAGCCAUGCCGCGUGUGUGAAGAAGGCCUUCGGGUUGUAAAGCACUUUCGGCCGGAACGAAAUCGCGCGGGUGAAUACCCCGCGUGGAUGACGGUACCGGAAGAAGAAGCACCGGCUAACUACGUGCCAGCAGCCGCGGUAAUACGUAGGGUGCGAGCGUUAAUCGGAAUUACUGGGCGUAAAGUGUGCGCAGGUGGCCGCGCAUGUCGAGUGUGAAAUCCCCGGGCUUAACUUGGGAAUUGCGCUCGAAACUACGUGGCUAGAGUGUGGCAGAGGAAGGUGGAAUUCCACGUGUAGCGGUGAAAUGCGUAGAGAUGUGGAGGAACACCGAUGGCGAAGGCAGCCUUCUGGGCCAACACUGACGCUCAUGCACGAAAGCGUGGGGAGCAAACAGG
rnacentral:rRNA from 1 species